GCCCCGGUAGCUUAGUGGUAGAGCUGAAUGUAGUGACCAAUAACUACGAGGAGGUAGGAGGUUCGAAUCCUGCCCGGUGGCU